AUGCAGCUCUCCAGACAUGUAGAUGCAUCUGUGCUCAGCACCUACGCGUAUUCAGAAAUAUCUGUAACACUUCUGCCCAGAAAGCAUAUAAAAGUGAAUGUAUACUUACAGCGCUGACAACCACUAAGCUCAGGAGUUAAGUGACAGCCUGGGGAGGAGCCCAGGGAGGGGCAGAGAGCAUAGCGUGUGGCACCUGCGGUUUCAGGCAUGUCCUGGUGCCCAGGCCCCUCGCCUAGCAGAAACCAGAGCCACAGGGCCGUGACCGUGGCCGAGUAACUGACCGUGCGCGACUCCGUGGUCAGACCCAGGACUGCUGCGCGCACUAGCUACCCACAGCGCACCGCGGCGCGCACGCGUAGAGCGCCGUUCCCGGCGUGCAGCGUUGCGGCCCAGGCGGCCGUCUUAGUCUGCCCCGCAGGGCCGGUGGGGCACGAGCAGCGGGAACAUGGCUCUAAAACGGAUCCAGAAGGAACUGACUGAUUACAGAGGGAUCCCCCUGCUCAGUGUUCUGCGGGACCUGUGGGUGAUGACUGUUGCUUUCACUACCAGAAUCUAUCACCCUAAUAUCAACAGCAAUGGCAGCAUUUGCCUGGACAUCCUGAGGUCACAGUGGUCCCCAGCACUGACUGUGUCUAAAGGUAGAGACACUGGCAUGGACUGAGCAUGCUGGUCUACUGGUCCCCCUUGCUGACUAGUGGACACGGAAGCUGAGGAAGAACAGAUGGCUUCCCCAGAUCACAUAGCCCUGCCCAGUCCUGUGACUCCCUCAUUCUCCAUGCUGUAAGGCGAUGAGGGCAUUGCGAAGCACAGUUCCCAUGCCAGUAAUUCUCAGCCAUCAGCUGUUCUGUGAUGCUCCGAACUGUCACCUGGGUACAAGAAGAUAGCAUCAACUUUACUUGCAUUUUCACCUAAAAGUCGGAAAGCAAAUAUGAAACUUUUUUUCAUCUGCAGACCAGCAGACUGUGAGUCAUCUCUGAAAGGUCAAAUACAUGGCCUGGGCUCUAGUGUGUAAAGACAUUUUCCUUUCCCAAAACAAGUUAUAAUGAGCUUAUUGGUGGACGGCAUUAAGAAUUCAAGCUGCACACAUAUAAACAAAGCACUUGAGAGUUCAGGGCCAGCCUAGGAGGGACCCCGCCUCAAAAAAAAACAAAGCAAAACAAACAAAACAAAACAAAACAAUCCAAUCUACACCAUGCUAUAGAAUGCUAGGAGCUCUGGAACAGAGAUUGAGUACGGUAGGGCGUGCGUGUGGGACGAGCCACCCACAGCCGGUAUGAGGAGCAUAAGGCUCUGGGCACUGGGAGAGGCCUCAGGCUAUGGGGCAACGGGCAGGGCAGGCUUUGGAAUGAAACAAACAAACAAGCAAACAAAAACAAAAACCAAGAGGCCUGCAGAGGUAGAUAUGGUAAAUCCAGAAGGACAGAACUACCGUACUGUUCAGGAUCACAGUGUACCCCACACAUCUAGGAAACAUUUGCCAGAAUGCCUCUUUUCUGGGUUGUGCCUCAGGGAGGCAGCCUAAUCCCACUGCCCAGUAAAGGCAGGGGCAGCCAUCAGAGUCUGCUAGCCUCCAGGGCCAGUGGCAUCUUAGGUAAGGAGUCAGAAAAGAUGGAGGGAAAGGGGGUAGCAGCAAGGACACUUGAGAAAGGACAGGCAGCCCUGAGUGCUGUGGAGGGAUAUCUACAGCCCUGGAGUGCCAAAGAGUUGAGUGCCUUCAUUAACGGAGCCUGCCCUUCCCACGGGCAGCUCUAGCUGUAGGAACUACGGUUAGGACCUUGGGCUCGAUGAAGCCAGUUUGUUUUGAGUCAUGGUAGAUUUAGGGCAAAGCAUAAAUACUGUUCUCUGCAUUUCAUCUGUUGCUCAGCAAGACCUGGUAAAGUAUUUCCUUUGUCCAAGUCCUCUGACAUUGUCCUCAACACAGGAGGGCACAGAAGCAGCGGUGAGGGCACAGACUGGUCUUGCAGUUCUGGUUCGGAGUCUCUAACUUCAGCAUUCGGAAUUCCUGUCUUCUUGUCAGUAGACAAGGCUGCUGGGGCACCAAAGAUGUGUGGUGUGGGUACAGACGGGCGGUUGGAAGAGUGUGAAGGAUGGAAGUGAAGGCCAGGACCACGUGGAGGAAUCCCAGAACAGUGUGCUGUGACUACACUAUGACGUGUGUCCUGCUGGUAUUUUAACAUCAAAUAUUAUCGCGACUUGAACAGA
rnacentral:lncRNA from 1 species